ensembl:lincRNA
UUGUCCAGAUCCAGACAGAGACCAGCAACCAGGCAGAGCUGGGCGGUCUGUGGAUGGGUGUGUGUGUGUGUGUGUGUGUGUGUGUGUGUGUGCGCGCGCGCGCGCGCGCGCGCAUAGAGCACGGGCAAGGGGCAACCUGACCGGAAGACAGAGUAUGCAGUAUUGUCCUCUGAAGCAGCUCUCCUCCCGCCAGCCGAGACAAGACGGAGAUAGCCACCUUCUGUGGGGCCCGGUCCACCCUGGGCGCCCUCUCCCCCGCCCGAGCUGCUCCUCAGCCACAUGCCCUUGGGCUGAGCUAAGUCCAGAACCCGGCUGAGUAGGGGAAUUGUUCUGAGAAAGUGGCCCGUUGGCUGGUUGCUAUGGAAACCGACAUACCACAGCGCUGACCCCGGAGAGGUUUAGCACGCUCCCCCAGCAGGGAUGCCAGCAGCUGGACUGCAGCUGUUACAGCCUAAGUGGGGGCCGCCGCCGCCGCCAGCGGUCCCGCUGUUUGCCUAAACCAAGCCGGCAGCAGAGCGGCUCCGUGCUCCUGCCCGCGCCGCACCGCACCCCUCCUCCCCGGGAGGGGAGCAGCGCCCCAGCCACUGGAGGGUGGGGGUGGGGCGGCAGGGCGGCCUCGANNNNNNNNNNNNNNNNNNNNNNNNNNNNNNNNNNNNNNNNNNNNNNNNNNNNNNNNNNNNNNNNNNNNNNNNNNNNNNNNNNNNNNNNNNNNNNNNNNNNCUUGACGGGCAUGGGACGUCUUUGCAUUUUAUGUCUGGGGAAACUGAGACGCAGAGAAGAGGAGGAACUGUGCCUUCCCCGUAACGCGCUACUUGUCACCCUGCCGCCAGCCCCGCGCGGCCCACCCCGGACACCACCGAGAGAGUACUGCGCACCGAUGGAUGAAUGAAAGAAGCACCCCAAACGGAUGGCAGAACUAGAAAGAGGAACACCGAGAAGAGGAGAGGGAGCAUCCAACAAGGACAGCUUCAGAGCCAAUGCUCUCCUCGUCUGGCCACCUUUCUGUCUUCUGAAAAAGACCACCCUGUCAGUUGUGGGCAUCUGCCUCCAUUUGAGAUGGAGAUGAGGUAUCGAGAGGAUUGCAGGUGCCCUGACGUCUGGCCGGUGAGGUUAUGGAAGGCAUUUGUUGAGCAAAUGACACCCAACCCCAUCUGCAGGCCCUGUGAGUCUGGUGGCGGUGAGGGCACAUGUGGAAGAAGCCCUGGACAAGUAUCCCUGGUCAGAAGUAGUUUCCAGUCUUGAAGGACUCAGCAGCUGAGUGCUCUGAGGUUAAUCAGAUUACAGUCAGACACCGCCCUGUCCCAGAGAAGAGAUGCUUUGCCCACAUCUCAAGGCACAGUCGAGCACCCACUGAGUGGCGAUGGUCUUUAAGCAAAGUGAAGAGGUGAUGGUGAAAUUAGACCUGCAAGACCAUUCCAAGGGCAAACUCCAGACAGAGCUUUCCUUCCGUUGCCUCCUCCUUGCAAAAACAGAUCCAUGAAUAGCCAACUCUGGGAAGCAGCAGCAUCCCAUCCUGACAGCAGCCGUCACUGUGCCCUUCAGGAAAAGCUUGGAGAUGAACCCAAGACAAAAACUGGGCCAAGGCCACAGAGCAAAUCACCCUGAGACACGGUUGCAUCCCACCAGAUGACAGUGACACCCCUUCCCCAGUCACUGUCUCACUGAAGUCCCAACCACUUCCUGGGCCACCCUGCAGCACAGAUGACAAUUCUUAUUCCCAUGUGACAAGGAGGAAAAGUGUCCUUUGCGUGUGGCCUGAGUACACACCUGAGGUCACAAUAAUAAAAAGUAGUGAAGUCUGUGGGUCAGCACCCAUCCUCUUCAGGACAAGCCUCUUGGUAAAUUUUCUCUGUCCUCAGAGACUCUAGUACACAUGCAAACAUUUCUUGUACAGCAGCAAGACAAAAAGUUGUCCUGAAGUCUGCAGCAAGAUUUGUUCAGCCAUGUCUGGGUGUAGAGGGGAAGCAGAGGGGGAGAGGACGUAGCCAGAGCCUAGUGAGUCAUGGGUUAUGGGGAAAGGGAUCACCCUCAAGUGUGCUGUCACUCUGCAAAGAAUGUAGCACAAGCGACUAGGCUACUUUUCCGUUGACAGUGACUUCUAAAACAUCCCCAGGAUUCUUAAGCUAAGGGAGCAGCAGGUACCUUUCUAAGUAAAAAAUAAAGAGGGAGGUGGUAAUGGGAGAGGGGUGACUGGGUGGGACGGUGGACAGACAACAGGCUGCGUGCUGAGGAGCAGUGGGGUCAGUACAUGAGUGACAAGACACAGCACUCCCAGCCAGGUUUCCCAGAGCACAGGCUGUGGGCAGCGCCAGCAUUCUGAGGGGGCAGAUGUGAAGGGCAGAGGAUGAAGUUGGAUCCCACAGGGCCAGGCUGUGUGUUCAGGAGCAGGAAACAAGAAAGGCCUGGUCAGUUCAGAUACCCGGAGUGCUGAUGUGCCAGGCAGGAGGGCCGGGGCCCACAGAGGGACCUGUGGAACCCAAAGGAAAGAACCCAAACGCUUGGCUUACUGGGAGUAAUUUUAGAAUGAGAGCUGCAGACUAGAAAGAAAAAGAUUAUGUGUAUUACAAAACAUUUAAAAAUGGGCUGGCUGAAAAUUAAGGCCAAUUACAAGUAUCCUUACAACACUGUAGGUGACCCAAAAUGUUUACUGAAUGAAGAAGGCUCUUCUCAUUUUAGAGAUAAGAGAAACUAAGAGAUCUGUAGCUUUUACACGUAAUGAUAUGCUAUGUCUCCAAGAUAGCAACAAACCUCCCAAAGCCUACGGGAGAAAACCACUCUGUCUUGAUGAACUGCUUUUCAGUGUUGAGUUUGAAAAUGGUGCUCCACAUGUGACAGCUCCGUGUGCACCAGGGCAAAAUCUGGUUCUGUUGGAUCUGUCUGCACUGAGAUCCUACUGUAUGCCCGACACUGCACAGAAACACUUCCUUCCUCUUCCACUGCAGACCACAGCGAAGUAGGGUUUGCUGCCUUCGAGGAUCCUGUUGCUGAUGCUGCUGUUGCAGCCAAGGCUGAAGACACAGCAGGAGAUCUGCUGGCUCCUUGCAUCCCCUGGGGUCCUGAGCACCUCCUGGCUUGGUUACAGAGGACCUGGAUGACCUGUUCUGCCCGUCUUCCCAUCCCUGGCAACCUGGUGGCAGAAGGGGGGGUGUGGUGCCUGCCACAGUGCCUGUCUCCCUUGCCAUUUCUUCUGCAGCUCCCUCACUGGCCCUGUUUUUCAGACCUCUAGUAAUAAAAACAAGCCAAUAAAAUGAACAUGAAAAUAUAUUCAUUAGGAUUUAUAAUGCUCAUUAAAACUGCCUGUGUACGAAAGCAUGACUUAGCUUCAUAUAAGUGGGGAAAAAAUGCAAAUUAUACUGCAUGCAAAGAAGAUAUUUCCCUAAUCGUCCAAUCAAAUGCCAGCCCAAUUAUCUGUGGCCAACCCAAUGGGUUAAAAUUAUACUCUUUUUCCUUGGACACAGUGAGGCGCCUGAAAGUGUUUCAUUUUAAUAAAAAUGAAAUCUGGACCCUGCAGAAAACCAGCUUCACUAAUGACGUGUUUACACAGAGAAAGACAAUUUCUAGUUAAUGGUGAUUACUACCGAGAACAAAUUAAACUUCCUGGAGUAUAUGGGUUAGAGAUAAUGGGAAAAGGGGGGAAAAAGUUAUGGUUUUAGUGUGUGCACGGCGGCAUGGGGUACAGGAUGACACAGAGAGAGUGAAGCUGGGGAAGUCCGGGAGGAAGUUGUGGCCGCAGACGUGCUGGGAUGGGAGCAGCUGGGCCACGGUGGCUUCCCUAGCUUUGCUGGUGCUAAGCUUGGAGAUCCCAGGGUCGGACAUCUUUGGCUGGGACAAGGCUAGAUUCUUUCUGCAGGCUCUGGAAUCUGCCACUCUGUCCUUCUCGGAAGGCAGGUAACUAAUUUCAACCAUUACCAGCCAUCAGGAGCAUAUGGAAAGUUCCCUGUACUGCACUCCACUGGCUUCCUGAUAUGGCAACAGCUAGGACUGGGCUCCAGAGCUGUCAUGCAAAGCUGAGUGAGCAAGCAAACGCCAGGUGGGUGAUGGAGGAAGCAAAAUGGACAGGAGACAGAGUAAUGGAAUAAUGACUGAUGAUACUAGCAAAAGUCCUUUACUUCCUGCUGAUUUCAGUAUGGCCCCAGGGUCUGUGUGCUGGAAGUUUGGACAGUGUAAUGAUAUUGAAAAGCUGUAGCACCUUGAAGAGGUGGGGCCUAGUUGAAGGUGGUUAAGUCAUUGUUCCUGGAAAAAGGAAAAUGAAUUUAUAUAAAGAGUAAGCCUAGCACCUGGGUCUCUCUUGCUUCCUGUCCUGCUGUUGUGACAUCAUCUUCCAUGAGGCCCUCACCAGAGCCGAGCAGAUGCCAGUACUAUAUAUGUGAAUCUCAGAAACUGUG